rnacentral:rRNA from 1 species
UACGGAGGGUGCAAACGUUGCUCGGAAUUAUUGGGCGUAAAGCGCACGUAGGCGGUCUAGCAAGUCGGGUGUGAAAGCCCUCAGCUUAACUGAGGAAGUGCAUUCGAAACUACUAGGCUUGAGUACUGAAGAGGACGACGGAAUUCCCGGUGUAGAGGUGAAAUUCGUAGAUAUCGGGAAGAACACCAACGGCGAAGGCAGCUCGCUGGGACGGUACUGACGCUGAGACGCGAAAGCGUGGGGAGCGAACAGG